GAAGCGGGGUCUGCUUCUCCGCACUGGCGGUCAGAGUGGCCCCAAGCUGCGUAACGUCCAGCGACUAGGUGUGGCCCGCGACAUUUAACUGCGGUGUCGGCCGCCACGUUCUCUUCAUCCUCCUGCUCCUCCCGCUUGAUGUCGCCGGGCCCCGGGGCGGCGCCGCGCCCGAGAUCUGCAACAGGCCGGAGUCAGGGGCCUCCGUUCGCAACGGCAAGCCACCCAGGAGCCCACCGAGAGCGGGACACCGGCCUCACACCACACGCGGGCACCCGUUCCAGACCCCACAGACCAAAAGGCCUUCAGAAGAAAGUGCACCAAAAUGUCAUGGCCACUCAGAGGCGAAAAACUGUUUCCUAAAACGUUAAGGAGCUGUCCUCAAAAAAAACAGAAAUCGAUAAACCUGAAUAUAUCAAAAUUGAGAACUUCUCAUCACCAAGAAAAUAAGCGGCUGCGCCACUGGACAAAAGACGCUGUCACGUACAAGCCAACAAAGGGCAGAUCCCCACGAUCCCAAAGAACUGCUACAAGUCAGUGUGGACAUGAUGGAGAAGCCCGAGAGGAGCAGGGAGGGCCCCCGGGAGCCUGCAAUCUGCGUCAUCGCUUCAGGAAAUGCAGAAACGCUGCGGGUCUGAGUAUCGCUUGUGGGUGUGACUGCUUUGGAAAACACUUUUUCCGCCUUAUCUGGAAAAGGCGGGCAUGUGUAUGCCCAGCAACCCUCCAACCCAGAAUCACACCCGCCACCAGGAGACACGCUCAGAAGGUUCGGGAAAGCGCCCACGCGUGGGCCUAGGGUGGGGCAGGACCCAGUGUCCCGUGAGGCCAGGGCUGGUCCUUGCAUGGCAGCUGAGCGAGCAGUCGGGUGGUAAGCCACUCAGUAGGACAACGACUCACAAAACCCCCAGGCCACAUAAAGAGACCGCGGGCGAGGGCACACAGCUGCUUGAAACCACCACGUGGCCGAGGGACUGGCCUGGGCUCUCCCGCAGCUGAACCCCAGGAUGGGGACAGUGCUUAAGAGACCUGCUCAGGGGCUCCCUCAGCACUGCUGCCUGUAACAGCCAAAGAUGUCCCCAGACGCCACCCAGGUGUGCAGUGACAAAAUCUAGACACCCAGGAAGCACGAGUCAGGAGUCAGGCUGGUUCUGGGGCUGCAGGGUCCUCAGGCGGGCACGAGGGUUGUGUGGUGGGGUCAGGGGGCCUUGUCGUCAAAUGCGCACAGCAUGUGGCACAGCGUAUUUUUCACCAGGUCGAUGGGGGCAGGGUGGGUGGAGUCCUGGAUCCUCUUAGGCCUUCAUCUCACUGGCUGUUGCAGGGUCAGCAUUAAGCGACCCUGGGACAGGUCCCUGUGAGACCCAGGGCCCCAAACCCCAGUGGGCAUGUGCAAGCCUGCCACCGUCACCCCCUUCUGUGGAUAACCUCGUGCCAAGUGACUUCGCCCCCUCUCUACUGGUGAUUUCUCUGCUUCCCUGGACAGUUAACUACCCAGAACGCCACCAAUGCUGCCCCACUUGGCCUGAUGGGACCCUCAACCGGCAUCCGACACAGUGCGCCCUCCUCCAGGCCCCUCAGCACCUGCCCCCCCCCGAUCUGCCCGGGACCCUGGCCCCGCGUGAGACCCUGCCCCACCUGCGGCCUGCCCAGGCUCCCCACCAUCAACUCCACCGUGUGCCAAGGACCCUGAGACCCCACCUACAGACCGGAACCGUACCUCCUUCCUCCACAUCUGCAAAUCCUUCAAAGCACCUGGAAAUCGCCCACCACUGCCCCUCUUCGGCCCCUUGCAGGCCGGUCCACAGCAUCCACCCACACCAUUCCUCCUGGACCAGCAGUCCCCUCUGCCCUGUUUCCCACUUCCAACCAAAGCCUGUCCUUCCAGCAGCAGCCACCAGAGGGCAUCUAUGAGCACCUGAGCAAGGCCCCGACCCUCUUCUACCCACAGCCCUCCAGGGCCCUCACCUCCCUGGGAGCCCAGCUGUGCCGCCCCCAGCACUGGAACCUGCCUUAACGCCAGCCCUGAUCACACAAGGCCUGGGGGCCUCAGAGGCAGGGCCCCGGGUGAAUAUUCUGCCCCAGAGCAGUGAGACAACAAAGGCUUUCAAGGACCAGCGCCGACCCUGAUCGACUGGGCACUGCAGGAAAGCGCUGCGGUCAACUGGCCACGUCUGCCCCGGCACUGGAGCAGAAAGCGGGGUGCAAGUGCCGAGAGAUGAACCGCACGGUGCGCAGGGUGUGUAUGGCCAGAGAAGCGACCAAGGGCUGUGGGACCCUUGCUGCGCCAAUUCAGUGCUGCCCGACCUCACAGGACGCGGACGCGACCGCCAGGACCCACGGGGACCGCCGUCCCCACCGCCCCGCCACCGCCCCACUCACCCAGGCC